rnacentral:lncRNA from 1 species
GUACUCUAGUGGCAAAACUGCUGGCUAGUGUACCUGUUCUGCCAAAAGUAAAAUGGGCUUACUGAGGAAAUUAAAUUUAUGUUCAAGUGCUAUUUCUUUAUGCACCGGGGAACAAGCAUUUCUAACAACCUGGUCCUACGUGGCUGAAACUGGAUCCCAGAAGCCCCGUCCUUCCCGAAGCUCGUAGCGGAAGUGACAUCAGCCCGCCGCCACUAUCUUUUCCCGCGCUGGCUGCCCACGGUCAGUGCUGUUUCACCUUUAUCUUGGUGGAGUCGACCCCGGCUGUGGAAAAGGAUUUCUGCCAUUCUGGUAAGGUUGGCUCUGGCCCCGCAUCCUCCCGCGUCAGGAACCUGGCGAUUCCGGAGUGUUCUUGGACUUCAAAUAACCCUGUACAAAGAGGAAUGGAGAUUGCCUCUAUUCACCUAGAUUCAUAAGUUGCCCUGAGGCAAUCUUGGCAUCAAGGAAGAGAGCAUUGAGGCACAACUGACCAUCAGCUUCAGAGAAUGGCAGUCACUGAUUUGUCCCAUGGGUUUUUUCCCAGGGAACCAAUCUGCCCUUUUGAAGAAAAGACAAAGAUAGGAACGAUGGUGGAGGACUACCUGGCAAAUUCUUAUCAGGAUUCAGUGACGUUUGAUGAUGUGGCUGUGGAGUUCACCCCAGAGGAGUGGGCUUUACUGGACACAACUGAGAAAUGCCUCUACAGAGAUGUGAUGUUGGAGAACUAUGUGAACCUGGCCUCUGUGGACAAGAAGCUACAGUGGAUGGAAACUCUGAGAAUUGUGGAGAGGUCUUCAGUGAAUGGUUUUGCCUUAAAACACACAUGAGAGCUCAGAAUGGAGGGAACAUCUUUGAGGGUAAUUGUUAUGGAAAAGACAUCCUCAGUGUGCACAAGGAAGCCUCUAUUGGACAGGAACUUUCCAAAUUUAAUCCAUGUGGAAAAGUCUUCACCUUAACUCCAGAUCUUGCUGCACAUCUUGGAAUUCUCAAUGCAAGACAACCAUACAAAUGUAAGGAAUGUAGAAAAGGCUUUAAGUAUUUUGCAAGCCUUGAUAAUCACAUGGGAAUCCACAUUGGAGAGAAAUUCUGUGAAUUUCAGGAAUGUAGGAGAGCCAUCACUCAUUCCUCACACCUAAAGCAGUGUGUAACAGUUCAUACUGGAAAGAAAUCUAAAAAGACUAAGAAACAUGGGAAAUCCUUCACUAAUUUUUCUCAACUUUCUGCACAUGUGAAAAUUCAUAAAGGAGAGAAGUCCUUUGAAUGUAAAGAAUGUGGAAGAUCCUUUAGAAAUUCCUCAUCCUUUAAUGUUCACAUUCAAAUUCACACUGGAAUAAAACCACACAAAUAUACGGAAUGUGGGAAAGCCUUCACUAGGUCAACUCACCUUACUCAACAUGUAAGAACUCACACUGGAAUAAAACCCUAUGAAUGUAAGGAAUGUGGCCAAGCCUUCACUCAGUACACGGGCCUUGCUAUACACAUACGAAAUCACACUGGAGAGAAACACUAUCAGUGUAAGGAAUGUGGGAAAGCCUUCAAUGGAUCCUCAACCCUUACUCAACAUAAAAUAAUUCACACAGGAGAGAAGCCUUAUGGAUGUGUUGAAUGUGGGAAGACCUUCAUUACUUCUUCCUAUCGUAGUAAACAUUUGAAAACUCACCAUGAAGAAAGGCCCUUUGUAUGCAAGAUAUGUGGGAAAGCAUUUCUAUAUUCCUCACCCCUUAAUGUUCACCUGCAAACUCAUACCAGAGAGAAAGCCCUCAUAUGUAAAGAAUGUGGGAAAGCUUUUGCUGUUUCCUCACACCUAAGUAGACAUGAAAGAAUUCACACUGGGGAGGAACCCUAUGAAUAUAAGGGUAUGAAUGUUACCAUUUAGCUCAUUGGUUGCCAUCUUUAAUUAGUGGCAGUGACACUAAAGAUAUUCAGAUUUGUCCUAAA